GACGAACGCUGGCGGCGUGCCUAAUACAUGCAAGUAGAACGCUGAAGGAGGAGCUUGCUCUUCUGGAUGAGUUGCGAACGGGUGAGUAACGCGUAGGUAACCUGCCUGGUAGCGGGGGAUAACUAUUGGAAACGAUAGCUAAUACCGCAUAACAGUAGAUGUUGCAUGACAUUUGCUUAAAAGGUGCAAUUGCACCACUACCAGAUGGACCUGCGUUGUAUUAGCUAGUUGGUGGGGUAAUGGCUCACCAAGGCGACGAUACAUAGCCGACCUGAGAGGGGGAUCGGCCAAACUGGGACUGAGACACGGCCCAGACUCCUACGGGAGGCAACAGUAGGGAAUCUUCGGCAAUGGACGGAAGUCUGACCGAGCAACGCCGCGUGAGUGAAGAAGGUUUUCGGAUCGUAAAGCUCUGUUGUAAGAGAAGAAAGAGUGUGAGAGUGGAAAGUUCACACUGUGACGGUAUCUUACCAGAAAGGGACGGCUAACUACGUG
rnacentral:rRNA from 1 species